ensembl:lncRNA
CAGGUCUCAGGAUCUCAGGAUCAAAGUUCUUCCCGCCCUUCCCAAACCAGAAUUCACUCCUUGAAGGGAGGGAAAAAAGAAGGGGUCACAUUCCAGGUGAUAAAACCCAGUGGCUCCUCCCCCUCUGGAGGAAGUCGUAAAGUGCCAGGGCCAGGUAUUUCCUGAUUCUGCUUUCCUGGCUGUGGUCCAGAUAGAGAACACUACCUGCUAGUCUAUACCUGUGGUUUCCUCAACGUGGGGAGUCCCCCUGCCUGCUGCUGCCUGCCAGUGCCCCAGCUCACAAAGAACCCCAGACUUGAGCUAUAAGGAAGGAUGUCUUUCAUAUUUGGGCAGCAUCUCAUCAAGCCUUCCGUGGUGUUUUUGAGGACGGAAUUGUCCUUUGCUCUCGUGAACAGGAAGCCGGUGGUCCCAGGACAAAUAUGUCGCUGCCAGCUGCAAUUGGAAAUCACGUAUAUGAAGCACUCUAGAUUAGUAAAAGACAGAAGAAGGG